CAGCAGCCGCGGUAAUACGUAGGGUGCGAGCGUUAAUCGGAAUUACUGGGCGUAAAGCGUGCGCAGGCGGUUCGUUAAGACAGAUGUGAAAUCCCCGGGCUUAACCUGGGAACUGCAUUUGUGACUGGCGAGCUAGAGUGUGGCAGAGGGGGGUGGAAUUCCGCGUGUAGCAGUGAAAUACGUAGAUAUGCGGAGGAACACCGAUGGCGAAGGCAGCCCCCUGGGCCAACACUGACGCUCAUGCACGAAAGCGUGGGGAGCAAACAGGAUUAGAUACCCCCGUAGUCCCUGUCUCUUAUAC
rnacentral:rRNA from 1 species